rnacentral:misc_RNA from 1 species
AAAAAAAAAAGAAUCUAGUGGUAGUAGACUAGUAACAACUAACAAUAAUAAAAAUAAAUAUAAGAUCCUAAUUUUGCAUCAAACUCCCAGGUUUGAAUUAGGAUACUUUAGCCAAGUAUUUAACUACUUAUUCAUAUUUUUCUUUACAGUAAGUGGGUUGGUGUUGCAGGAAAACAGUGGGCAGCUCAUUUUUAAGCUAUAACCAACAUAAAAAUUGUUUACCCAAAUUUUACAUUUUUUAAAUUUCAUCUUAUCUAAUUUUAUAUUUUUAUGUGCACCAGCUAAAAGGCCUAGUGCAUCCAUCCAAAGCUGUCUCACCAAUGUACGUGUGCAUAAAACACAUUGCUGGAUUUCAAUUGCACGAGUACAUUGCAGAGAAAGCUUUAGACUACAACUCACUUAUGUUGCACCCAUGAAAAAAUUAGUAUAGAGAGGUGAUGAUCAUAUGUUUACCUGCAAAUCCAAAAUGUUGUAAG